rnacentral:lncRNA from 1 species
CGAGACCAACUGAUAAAGGCGUCCCAUCUGGACGCCCUUAUCAGUCCUGGGGGAAAAACAAGAGCCAAGGGUGAGAGGUGGCCAUGAGGUCAGGGAAACCCCUGCAGAAUUCUCAGGAGAGGGAAAUCUUCAGAGCUGUGGCUUUGGCUUAGUUUGUCUUCCCACCAGCCACCUGUCCUGGAGCUGGAGAUGCUUAAGUUUAAACCAGAGACUUUGGAUAUUUUCCCUGAGUGACAUAAUCCUUGUCUUUCUCUCCUGGAAUCGUGGGUCCAGACCAUCACAGUGAUCCAGUCGGCCCCCUCUCCUUCUUCUCUCACUCCAAUCUCUCUCCCUGAGCUGGACUCUCCGCCC